CCGGCGCACGGGUGAGUAACGCGUAUCCAACCUGCCCACCACUUGGGGAUAACCUUGCGAAAGCAAGACUAAUACCCAAUGAUAUCUCUAGAAGACAUCUGAAAGAGAUUAAAGAUUUAUCGGUGAUGGAUGGGGAUGCGUCUGAUUAGCUUGUUGGCGGGGUAACGGCCCACCAAGGCGACGAUCAGUAGGGGUUCUGAGAGGAAGGUCCCCCACAUUGGAACUGAGACACGGUCCAA
rnacentral:rRNA from 1 species